rnacentral:rRNA from 1 species
CUUGGUCACUUCAGAGGAAGUAAAAGUCGUAACAAGGUCUCCGUUGGUGAACCAGCGGAGGGAUCAUUACCGAGUUUACAACUCCCAAACCCCAAUGUGAACGUUACCAAUCUGUUGCCUCGGCGGGAUCUCUGCCCCGGGCGCGUCGCAGCCCCGGAUCCCAUGGCGCCCGCCGGAGGACCAACCAAACUCUUUUUCUCUCUCCGUCGCGGCUCCGUCGCGGCUCUGUUUUAUUUUUGCUCUGAGCCUUUCUCGGCGACCCUAGCGGGCGUCUCGAAAAUGAAUCAAAACUUUCAACAACGGAUCUCUUGGUUCUGGCAUCGAUGAAGAACGCAGCGAAAUGCGAUAAGUAAUGUGAAUUGCAGAAUUCAGUGAAUCAUCGAAUCUUUGAACGCACAUUGCGCCCGCCAGUAUUCUGGCGGGCAUGCCUGUCCGAGCGUCAUUUCAACCCUCGAACCCCUCCGGGGGGUCGGCGUUGGGGAUCGGCCCCCUCACCGGGGCCGCCCCCGAAAUCCAGUGGCGGUCUCGCCGCAGCCUCUCCUGCGCAGUAGUUUGCACACUCGCACCGGGAGCGCGGCGCGGCGACAGCCGUAAAACACCCCAAACUCUGAAAUGUUGACCUCGGAUCAGGUAGGAAUACCCGCUGAACUUAAUCAUAUCAGAGAACGGAGGA